GACCAACGCUGGCGGCGUGCUUAACACAUGCAAGUCGAACGGUGAAGCGAGUGCUUGCACUCGUGGAUCAGUGGCGAACGGGUGAGUAACACGUGAGUAACCUGCCCAUCACUCUGGGAUAAGCACUGGAAACGGUGUCUAAUACUGGAUACGACCAACCCUUGCAUGGGGUGUUGGUGGAAAGAUUUAUCGGUGAUGGAUGGACUCGCGGCCUAUCAGCUUGUUGGCGGGGUAAUGGCCCACCAAGGCGACGACGGGUAGCCGGCCUGAGAGGGUGACCGGCCACACUGGGACUGAGACACGGCCCAGACUCCUACGGGAGGCAGCAGUGGGGAAUAUUGCACAAUGGGCGAAAGCCUGAUGCAGCGACGCCGCGUGAGGGAUGACGGCCUUCGGGUUGUAAACCUCUUUCAGCAGGGAAGAAGCGAAAGUGACGGUACCUGCAGAAGAAGCACCGGCUAACUACGUG
rnacentral:rRNA from 1 species